AGAGUUUGAUCAUGGCUCAGGACGAACGCUAGCGGCGUGCCUAAGGUAUGCAAGUCGAACGGGGAAGAGGGCUUGCCCUCUUCCUAGUGGCGAACGGUCGCGUAACACGUAGACAACCUGCCCUCGGGUGGGGGAUAACAGCUCGAAAGGGCUGCUAAUACCGCAUGUUGGUGGGGCGUGGCAUCACGCUCUGACUAAAGGGAGCUUGCUCUCGCCAGGGGAUGGGUCUGCGGCCUAUCAGGUAGUUGGUGGGGUAACGGCCUACCAAGGCGACGAUCGGUAGCUGGUCUGAGAGGACGGCCAGCCACACGGGGACUGAGACACGGCCCCGACUCCUACGGGAGGCAGCAGCAAGGAAUCUUGGUCAAUGGGCGCAAGCCUGAACCAGCGACGCCGCGUGGGGGAUGACGGCCCUCGGGUUGUAAACCCCUUUUGCGUGGGACGAAGUUCUGACGGUACCACGCGAAUCAGCCACGGCUAACUACGUGCCAGCAGCCGCGGUAAUACGUAGGUGGCAAGCGUUGUCCGGAUUUACUGGGCGUAAAGCGCGCGCAGGCGGUUCACUCAGUCCGGCGUGAAAGCUCCCGGCUCACCUGGGAGAGGGCGUGGGAUACUGGUGGACUGGAGGCAGGCAGAGGCCGGUGGAAUUCCCGGUGUAGUGGUGAAAUGCGUAGAGAUCGGGAGGAACACCCGUGGCGAAGGCGGCCGGCUGGGCCUGUCCUGACGCUGAGGCGCGAAAGCGUGGGGAGCGAACCGGAUUAGAUACCCCCGUAGUCC
rnacentral:rRNA from 1 species